rnacentral:piRNA from 1 species
UGUGUCAUCCAUCUACAGUAUUUAGUUAU